GAGAAAUAGCAUGAGGUUUGCCUUUCUCAGCCCCUCCUCCAGUUUUUAGUCCUACAAAGUGUUUGGUGCAUAGUAUAGAGGCAAUGUACUAUGCACCAAACACUUUGUAGGACUAAAAAUUGGGGGAGGGUGCUGAGAGAGGCAAUUGGGACAUGGGUG